rnacentral:rRNA from 1 species
AUUGAACGCUGGCGGCAGGCUUAACACAUGCAAGUCGAGCGAGUGGCGGACGGGUGAGUAAUGUCUGGGAAACUGCCUGAUGGAGGGGGAUAACCACUGGAAACGGUAGCCAAUACCGCAUACCAUCGGAUGUGCCCAGAUGGGAUUGGCUAGUAGGUGGGGAAAAGGCUCCCCUAGGCGACGAUCCCUAGCUGGGCUGAGAGGAUGAAGGGCCACACUGGAACUGGGACAGGGUCCAGACUCCUACGGGAGGCGGCAGUGGGGAAUAUUGCACAAUGGGCGCAAGCCUGAGGCGGACAUGCCGCGUGGAUGAAGAAGGCCUUCGGGUUGUAAAGUACUUUCAGCGGGGAGGCGUUACCCGCAGAGGAAGCACCGGCUAACUCCGUGCCAGCAGCCGCGGUAAUAC